rnacentral:rRNA from 1 species
GCAAAUCAAUAGGCUGAUCUUAAAAUGACUGACAUGUUCUCAGAAGCUCAGCAGGGUCAGGCCUGGUUAGUACUUAGAUGGGAGACCACCUUGGAAUAUCAGCUGUUGUAGGCU